UGCUGCAAAGUGUCGCUCCCAGCUAAUACAAUUGAAAGGCUCGCAUAUUCUAGCUUUCUUCAUUUUGCCAAUCACAACAAAAAGCACUAAUGCGAAGAAAACGUGCAGAUCAGUAAAAUAGAAUGACAAGUUAAGAAAAACAAGCAUUUUCAACACCUCCUUUUGCUUUUAAUCAAGGUUCUAAGGCCGCAAAAGUAUAGUUCUGCAAAUUAUAUUGAUUCUAGAACGAUUGUACUGAUGAACCACGGACGUUUUUACGAUCAAAACCUACCCUGAGCAGGUUUGAAAUCAGAACAAUAAGAUGCUGAAAUCGAUACAACAAAUCAGUCACAAUCAAUCUCCAGCUUCUGGCUUCGGUUGACUCGUAUACCAACGGGAGCGGUGUCUAUGCUGGUCGUUUACAGCCUCGAGUUUGCGGACGCCUGGGUGCCCACAAAGACAAUGCUAGCGGUCCGUGAGACACGUUUAACCCUUUUGAUAUCAACCCGCUUAAGAAUUCCCCUAAUUCUAUGAUAUAAAUUUCACCUUUUGUUUUAAAAUACUUAAAUUAAAACAUUUCGUCAAAAUUUCGCAUUAAUUUAUGGCCCAAAUUCCAGCUUGGUAUUGGCAAAGUUUAUUUAUUAAAUACUUCCUUUUUCACUGU